rnacentral:rRNA from 1 species
GACGAACGCUGGCGGCGUGCUUAACACAUGCCAGUCGAACGGGCCCGCUCUCUUUUUUGGGGGUGGGUUGAGUGGCGAACGGGUGAGUAUCACGUGAGUAACCUGCCCCCUGCUCCUGGAUAACUGCUUGAAAGGGCGGCUAAUACGGGGUGUGCCGGCUGGUCCGCAUGGGCCUGGUCGGGAUAGUUUCAUCUUCGGGUGUUUCGGUGGGGGAUGGGCUCGCGGCCUAUCAGCUUGUUGGUGGGGUGAUGGCCCACCAAGGCGGUGACGGGUAGCCGGCCUGAGAGGGUGGGCGGCCACACUGGGACUGAGACACGGCCCAGACUCCGGCGGGAGGCAGCAGUGGGGGGUAUUGCACAAUGGGCGGAAGCCUGAUGCAGCGACGUCGCGUGAGGGAUGGAGGCCUUCGGGUUGUGAACCUCUUUCUCCGGUGGUGAAGGCCCUGUCCGGUGCGGCGGGGUUGACGGUAGCCGGGUAUGAAGCGCCGGCUAACUACGUG